AGGCCGCGGCCAGCCGCGCGGUGCUCCCCAUGGCUCAGCGUGCAAACAAUGCCAGGAGCGCAGGGAGGAGCAGGAGCGGCUGCGGUUUGCGCCUUUUCAUCUGCUCAGCCCUGGCGGGGGAGACCCUCGCCCCCAUCCCACUUCUGAAAUUCCUCCCUGCUCCUCUGUGCCUGGCAAAGCUCUUGCAACUUAGCUGUGGGACUUCUGCCAGGGACACCCAGACUUGACCAGACCACUGGUUCAUAGGUGGAUAGACCCAUCUAUGUCACCUCAGAGCCCAUCCAGAUGAAUGGUUUGCUGUUCCCACAGUCCGUGCCCAUGGAGUGUGUUGGUGGCCUCUCCAUGAAGCACAUGCUCCCACACAUAAUUAAAUGGAUAUUUUGAAAACCGGCAAUUACCCACUGGACAAUCCUGAGCGAAAUGCCAUGAAUCACACUCGGCAAACAUGUCGGAGCCAGAGAGUUUGCUGAAGAAAGAACUGUGUCUGAGUGCACACAGCCCACCUUGCUCUCAGCUACCCACGCCAGGCCCUUGUGAAGCCUCAGCUCCUCCAGGUGCACAGGCACCCACGUGGGCGCAGCAUGCAAAGGACCACCGGCAGAACGCAUUGUCUUAAAAAGGCACGCACAUCUAGCUUUUUUUUGUUGCUGUUUAAUGAUUUUUGUUCUUAUUUCAUUUUCCCCCCUCUUACGGAAUUGGGAUACGGUGCUAUUGGCAGAGUACUUGCCUAGCCCUGGUUUUGAUCCCCUGCACCACAUAAUAGGGUGUGGUAAUGUAUCCCUGUAAUCUCAGCCCUUGGGAAACAGAGGCAAGAGAACAGGGGUUCAAAGUCAUCCUCAGCUUCAAACUCAGUUGGGGGCCAGCGUGGGAUCCAUGAGACUCUCUCCCCAAACAAAGUCAGACAAUUGCUUUCCUAUUAGCUCUCUGACCCCUCUUGGUCUGUUGCCUUUUCAGUGUAGUCUAUGGGGAGAGAAUACACCGGGACUGUUCAUAGCUCAGUGGUACAUACAGGCUUUACUCAUGUCCUUCGGCUUCCACACUCAGUACUGAGGACGAAGAAGAAAAGGCAAACUUUGAGUGAGUGAUAUAUGUGUCUCCUCUGGGAAGCUGAGGCAGGGGUGUGGCUAGCACAAUGCUAACCCCAAGGCCCUCUCAGGGUUUUUCUUCCCAGCCAUGCUCACUUUCAUGGGCUUUGGCAGUUUGCUGAAGCCUCUCUGUCUGGCCUGAAGUCCAUGCACAUGACUAUUGUGUUUGCAGGUGUGUUAAAUGGAAACUUACUUACACAGCCUGGUGGUGGACUAGGAUUGACCCAUGACUUGUCUGUGCCCUGUGUUCUCAGUAUUUCAGAAUUUUUUUUAGUAAACUCUGCAUUGCCUUGUAUAUGGGUCGAUUUUA